GAAAUCGGUUUUAGUUUUGUCGAUGACAAAAUAUAUGUCACAUUUUUACGUCACGGAGGCAGAAGAUCGAACUGCAGGAUGGAUUUAGCAGAGGCAUGCAUUGGCUGCUUGACAUAUCCCUGGAAGAGGACACCAACUAGCUAACACAGUCAAUGACAGAUGUCUCUUUGAAUUGAUAAAAUCAUAAUCAAAUGGAUAUAAUACAGAAGUUUCAAAGAUCUGUUUUGAUGUAGCCUGAAGAUUUUGUAAUGAAUGAUCCAGGAUCCAAAAGUUCUUCGCGGAGUUCAAAGACAGUUGCAAUGUGGUUGCUAAUUUAGUGACAGAUUAAGAAAGAAGUUCAAACAAGCAUUGUCAUGGGAAAACAUGAAAAAGGAAGAAGUUGGAGGUGGACAAAAAUCAGGAUGAAUAUACUAGAGAAACUAUUAAAGCACAGAAGAAUGACAACAAUAUAAAUCUAAAUGUAAUCAUUCAAGGAAUUAAAUUCAUUUUUAAUCUCAAACUGUCUUUUUUCUGUAACU